rnacentral:sRNA from 1 species
UUUUUGCGUUAGCGAUUGCAGUGACAUCCUUUUUUGGAGUGUAACGUAAAAAAAGAUAUAACGGAAAGCGCCACCUGAA